rnacentral:rRNA from 1 species
UUGCACGCUGGCGGCAGGCCUCACCCAUGCAAGUCGAGCGGAUGAAGGGAGCUUGCUCCUGGAUUCAGCGGCGGACGGGUGAGUAAUGCCUAGGAAUCUGCCUGGUAGUGGGGGAUAACGUCCGGAAACGGGCGCUAAUACCGCAUACGUCCUGAGGGAGAAAGUGGGGGAUCUUCGGACCUCACGCUAUCAGAUGAGCCUAGGUCGGAUUAGCUAGUUGGUGGGGUAAAGGCCUACCAAGGCGACGAUCCGUAACUGGUCUGAGAGGAUGAUCAGUCACACUGGAACUGAGACACGGUCCAGACUCCUACGGGAGGCAGCAGUGGGGAAUAUUGGACAAUGGGCGAAAGCCUGAUCCAGCCAUGCCGCGUGUGAAGAAGGUCUUCGGAUUGUAAAGCACUUUAAGUUGGGAGGAAGGGCAGUAAGUUAAUACCUUGCUGUUUUGACGUUACCAACAGAAUAAGCACCGGCUAACUUCGUG